rnacentral:rRNA from 1 species
UCCCGCGUAAUUUAAGCAUAUUAAUAAGCGGAGGAAAAGAAACUAACUAGGAUUCCCUUAGUAGCUGCGAGCGAACAGGGAAGAGCCCAGCACUGAAUCCUGCGCGCCAAGCGCGCGUUUGGAAAUGAAGUGUUUGGGAGGGGCCGAUUAUCUCGUGAGAGCGCACCAGUCCAAGACCAUCUUGAAAGCGGGCACAGCCCACAGAGGGUGUCAGGCCCGUAGAACUCUAAGUGGGUGGUAAACUCCAUCUAGCGUCGGGACACAGCUGCGGUGUCCCGGCGCGCCCGCCCGACGGUAGCCAAACGACUCGCAAGGUAGUCGCGGGGCGGUGCCCGCCUAAACCGCGGGCCCGCCCAGCGGCCGGCUCACUAACACUGGGCACGCGUGUCGUGCCAGCGACGCUCUAUCUAGAGCAUCAUCCGACCCGUCUUGAAACACGGACCAAGGAGUCUAACAUGUGCGCGAGUCAUUGGGACCCGAACUAAACCUAGAGGCGUAAUGAAAGUGAAUGUCGGCCGCCUCGGCGGCCGGGCAGAGGGGAGAUGGUGGCCGGCCUAGCGUCGCGUCGCCCGCAUCCCCGGGGCGUCUCGUUGUCAUUGCGACACAGCAGGCGCACCCAGAGCGUACACGUUGGGACCCGAAAGAUGGUGAACUAUGCCUGGUCAGGUCGAAGUCAGGGGAAACCCUGAUGGAGGACCGUAGCGAUUCUGACGUGCAAAUCGAUCGUCAGAGCUGGGUAUAGGGGCGAAAGACUAAUCGAACCAUCUAGUAGCUGGUUCCCUCCGAAGUUUCCCUCAGGAUAGCUGGCACUCGGAGCAAAUGCACGAAGCGUCGGUGGUAACGGCGCGCGUUUCGGCGCGCGCCGCGCCGGUCGCAAACACCAGUCUCAUCUGGUAAAGCGAAUGAUUAGAGGCCUUGGGGCCGAAACGACCUCAACCUAUUCUCAAACUUUAAAUGGGUGAGACAUUCGACUUGCUUAAAUGCCAUGUCGUUGAAGUCGGAACCCAGCCGCGCCGCGUCCGUAUUUAUGCGGGCGCGCGCGCGGAUGCACAAUGGAUGAAAGAGUGCCAAGUGGGCCAAUUUUGGUAAGCAGAACUGGUGCUGUGGGAUGAACCAAACGUCGCGUUAAGGCGCCUAAAUCGAUGCUCAUGGGAUACCAUGAAAGGCGUUGGUUGCUUAAGACAGCAGGACGGUGGCCAUGGAAGUCGGAAUCCGCUAAGGAGUGUGUAACAACUCACCUGCCGAAGCAACUAGCCCUGAAAAUGGAUGGCGCUCAAGCAUCGUGCCUAUACGCGACCGUCACUGGCAGACGAGGUGGAGCCGGCCUUCCAGCCGGCUCGCCCACAAAGUCGUGACGAGUAGGAGGGUCGCGACGGUGUGCGCAGAAGUGUUGGUCGCGAGACUGCAUGGAGCCGCCGUCGGUGCAGAUCUUGGUGGUAGUAGCAAAUACACUAGCGAGGCCCUGGUGGACUGAUGUGGAGAAGGGUUUCGUGUGAACAGCCGUUGCACACGAGUCAGUCGAUCCUAAGCCCCAGGAGAAUUCCGAUGUUGAUGUGCUGUCGUUUCACACUUUCGAUUUUUAACAAUCUCUCUGCAAAUUUUUCGGUUGCUCGUCUGCCCCCAUAUGUAUAUAUGUAUGUAUAUGUGUGUGUGUGUGUGUGUGCGCGCGCGCGCUCUAAAAUUUCGAGGGAAAAAUUUCAAACAAAAUGAUUGACCACAUCGGGCGAAAGGGAAUCCGGUUCCUAUUCCGGAACCCGGCUGCGGAACCGACUCGCGGGCCACUCUGCAGCAAUGCAGAACUCGUCGGGGUAACCCAAAAGGACCCGGAGACGCCGUCGGAUGAUCGAGGCAGAGUUUUCUGUUCUGUAUGAGCGUUCGAGUUCCCUGGAAUCGCCUAGCGCGGAGAUAGGGUUUGGAACGCGAAGAGCACCGCACUUGCGGCGGUGUCUCGAUCUAUCCCUCGGACCUUGAAAAUCCGGGAGAGGGCCACGUGGAGGUGUCGCGCCGGUUCGUACCCAUAUCCGCAGCAGUCUCCAAGUAGAGC